rnacentral:lncRNA from 1 species
GCUGCAGGUACUAGGCCAAUGAGAAACUGCAAUGGUGAGUGACUAUCUCUCUGCCUCCCUGGCCUGCUGCCCCAACUAAUCCUCCGAGGAAGGUGACACUUGGUUUUUCAUCUAGCAUAUUAAAAAUGUGCUUAAUUAUUCUAAGCUGAAAACAAAAUACUAACAGAUUUAACAUGAUGUAUGAUGCCUGAGCAUCACUUUUCUGUCUAAGGCAGGUGUUCCUAACAUCCAACCACAGCUGCCAUAGUUUACACUCUGCUCUCUAACGCAGAUGAAGAGGAACAUAAUAUCUUAAUAUGUGCAGUCUAUCAGUUAAGCUCAGAAAGGUUGUGGGACUAUUUUUAAAUUAAAUAAAUGAGCCUAUCUCAACUGCAAUGCAAGGCAGUUAAACUGCAUUGUUUUUAUACCACCAGAGGAGUGAGCUCAUUUAAAGUCAUGUAUGCUAUUAACAUAGCAGUAGUCUUUUUGAUAUUUGUGUGUGUGUGUGCCUGCGCGCAUGAAAUGCUUCAGCUCUAAUUUAAUUUUGUGUUCUCAUUGGAAUGUUGAUCAGAAUUAAUUGCUUUUUAGUUCUGUUGCCGGAAUAAAGUUAAUAGAGAUAUUGAAUAAAGUAAAUGCAUUCUUUCCAGCACUGAACUUUGGAAAAAUAAGGCAGAGCCUCUUGUACUCCCACAGAUUUACUGCUCCGGGUGUAAUGUGUAACUUGCAUUUCUUCAUAUGAAUGUCGAAAGCCUCGGUAUUACUCAAGAUAGCUUGCAAUUUAAUUGUUUAGAUAAUUUGCAGUUUAAUAAACAACUGACAACGACUCAUUAUUAGGAGGGCAGACCUUUGAAAAUACUUUGUCCCCUUUUUCAUUCCCUAAUAUAGCAGAAUCAAAAUAGUGUUUGUUAUCAUUCAGUGCGGCUGUUAAUUAAUUCCAAGUUUACAUGCAGACAGACCUGGCUAGUGAUUUCAUCCCAUGGCAGGCUACUGCUCAUACUAACAUAAGAAAAGUUGUACUGGAACAGACCAAAGGCCAACUAGUCCAUCAUCCACGGUGGCCACCCACUUCCUGGAGAUGUCCACAAGUAGGACAUGAGGGUGAUAACACUCUCCCACUUGUGUUCUGCAGCAACUGGAAUGCCACCAUGACUUAGAAUCAUAGAAUCAUGGACUUGCAGGACUAGGCGUCGGGCUCACCAUACCCCAACCCAUGCAAAUAGGAGACCAAUAAGACUGGUUUGGGGUCAAAACAAGCUAGAACUUUAUUGAAUACAGAUGAAAGAGGUUUGGCUUGGGCAUGGGGCAAUCAAAAUACUUCUGGCCUGCCCGCUGGAAGUCAUGCGUUGUCAAUCCAGGCAGGGGUUCCUAAGACUUAUAUCAAAUAGGGUGACCCCCGCAGGGUCCUGGCCCCCCAUGGGCACAUGGACAUGGCCACUCCCCCGGAUCACUUUAACAGGAUCUCCAGCAUUUGGAGGGGCAGGUGGAGACUACAACCCCCCCUGUCCAAAACACAGGAUUGCCCCAAUGCCCAACCAGUUGUGGUGAUUGCUAUGAGGUAGGCAAAACCACCGGGUCACUGCCAAUUAGCCCAGUAGGCUAAUUCCUACCUGGCCCCAUAAAGAGCUGUGACCACCGUAGCCACAGCAAAGUCAUUGACUGUCAGCUUAAAUCCGGCGACGGAACAAACAGGUAGUGCCCUAGGUGUGGGCUGCUUCAAUGGGGCUAGGGGUGGGUCCUAGGGAAGCCUACCUGCUCCGUCAGCUCUGCCCCCUGGCACAGCCCAUGUCCCCAGCCUGCAUCCCCAUUCACCAAAACAGGGGGCAGGCUAGGAUACGCUUCCCAAUAGGAAGGGGCUUAAGCCCCCACUGCCUACCAGGAAGGGCACCACUGUUCCAGUUCCCUCCUUGGGGCCCCAGUGCCAUCCUGCAAUGCUGCCACACCAAGAGGGGUGAGCGGACUUGUAGAGUUGGAAGGGGAGGUGGCGUUUGCCCAUUCCUUGUGAUUAUGUUUGCACAGGGGGAUGGAAAUGGUUAAUGUAGAUUGACCAAUGAGAAAGCUCAGAGGCGGAGCCUACCUGGUUUUGAGGCUCAGCCCAGGGAUUUACCAUGGAGAGAAAGAGGCGUGAGGGUCAGACAGAGGCAGAAAAAGUCAAACAUAGUGGUUGUGACAGUUAAGAGUGAGAGACAGGGAUAGAACUGAGAGAGAAGAGUGUGACAGUGUGAGAUAGUGCCACAUCUAGUUAAGGGCGCGCAUCUGAUAAACCGUUCUGAACAUUUUUAAAACUUGUUUGUUCUUCAAUAAACUUUAAUCUUUGUUGUUGACUUUAAAACCUGACUGAGACUCAGUAUUUCACCAGAAGAAACCUGGUUGGUGGCAGCGGAAGAAUAAAGCAGUGGUGCACAGGUCAAUAGUCCGUGAAACAACUGGGAGCUCUGUAUAAACGCCACAGGGACCAUAAGGGAAUAUUUUGCCCAACAUGGGGCUUGAACCCACAACCAUGAGAUUAAGAGUCUCGUGCGGUAUCAACUGAGCUAUCCCAGAGUAUAUUUGUAGCCAUUGAUAAUCUUAUCCUCCAUUAAUUUAUUUGACCCCCUUUUAAAACUAUCUGAGUUGGUGACUGUCAGGUUUCUUUCCCAAAGCACAAUGACAGUGACUCUUACUCGAAAGUAAAGAAGAGAUCUUUAUUCAGACUAACAGAAUUACAGGCUCAGCAUCAAGCACUAGGUCCAGAAAUCAAAAUUCCAAGCACUGAAUUGGCAGCACUGCGUCCUUCUUGAUGUUGUUGCUUUAAUUUGGAGGAAAGCUUCCAAACCUGAAGCCCAUUGCAACCAGCUCCUUCCAUGCAAAUUUGUCAUCUAUGACAAGGAUAAAUCAUACGUGCAGAUCGUUUGUCAAAGUUGUGAAUGGGCUGCAAACAAAUGCUCCGAAAAAUUAUUCAAAAUGUGAAGAAGUGGAAAGAUGCUAAAGGGAUUUUGUACUCUGGGUGACUUUGAAAAGGAGUUGGGAGCCCAAGACUCUCCAGAUGUUGCUAAACUGAAAUCCCAUCCCUGAGCAAGGCUGGGGCUUAUGGAAAUUGGAAUUCCAACAACUCAUAGAAUCACAGAAUCAUAGAGUUGGAAGGAAUCCUGAGUUUCAUCUAGGAAUUUCAGCUAAAGCAUCCAUGGCAGACAGCCACCCAACUUCUGCUUCAAAACCUCCAAGGAAGGAGAGUCCACCACCUUCCAAGGGAGACCAUUCCACUGUUGAACAACUCUUACUGUCAAAAGUUUCCCCUGAUGUUUAGUCACAAUCACCUUUCUUGUAACUUGAAGCCAUUAGUUUGGGUCCUACCCUCCAGAACAGGAGAAAAACAAGCUUGCUCCCUCUUCCAUGUGACAGCCUUUGAGAUAUUUGAAGGUGGCUAUCAUAUCUCUCCUCUUUUCCAGGCUAAACAUGUUGUUGUUGUUGUUUAGUCGUUUAAUCGUGUCCGACUCUUCAUGUCGCCAUGGACCAGAGCACACCAGGCACUCCUGUCUUCCACUGCCUCCCGCAGUUUGGUCAAACUCAUGCUGGUAGCUUCGAGAACACUGUCCAACCAUCUCGUCCUCUGUCGUCCCCUUCUCCUUGUGCCCUCCAUCUUUCCCAACAUCAGGGUCUUUUCCAGGGAGUCUUCUCUUCUCAUGAGGUGGCCAAAGUAUUGGAGCCUCAGCUUCGUUAUCUGUCCUUCCAAUGAGCACUCACAGCUGAUUUCCUUAAGAAUGGAGAGGUUUGAUCUUCUUGCAGUCCAUGGGACUCUCAAGAGCCUCCUCCAGCACCAUAAUUCAAAAGCCUCAAUUCUUCGGCAAUCAGCCUUCUUUAUGGUCCAGCUCUCACUUCCAUACAUCACUACUGGGAAAACCAUAGCUUUAACUACCCAACUCCAAGUCGUGGAGGGCCAUAGGUUCUCUUUCCCUGGUCUUGGGGCAGGGACAGAGAGUUUAAAUGCACCUUCUGAAUGUCCUGUUCAGCACUUCGGAGCAGCUCUCUCUGCCUAGCGAUGACAUCCACUAAUAAACGGCUCUGCAAAUAGAUCUGGGCAGCCUGUACUUGUCUGCAGUUUCUGCAGAUUGGGAUCAGAGAGGUUUUGAGAGGAACUUCUUGUUCCCUGAUUAUUCUUUUGGCAGGCUCUAGGACAAGGGGCCUGCUGGAAUUGCUUUUUAAAAAAUUACUGCGUGUGCCUCUCUGGCUGUAAAAUAUGCCCAUAUAAAUGUGUUAUCUGUCUAUUAGUUUCCUAAGUGAAAAAUGUACAGGGGUCUCUGAUUAAAAGGGACAAAGAUAUCGCUCAUUGGUUCUGACAGUGAGAAUGUUGCUGAACAAUGUCUCCCCUUUCUUGCAGGAACGGAGACGCUAAUGUGAAACCGAGGCACAUUCUCUUGCAUGGAGAAUAGGCAGCAGGAUAUUUUCUCUCUGGCGAGACGCUUCAUCACCGGACAGUGAGCCUGCUAUGGGUUUUUAAUGCCAACUCAUAUUGUGAGGCUGGCUGAAAGAUGCUUUUCUUUCCCCUCCAGGAAAUUGAGGUUGAAUUUUAAUUCAAUGCCAGUCAUUACUGGAUCACGGCUGCAUUAUUUCAUGUCCUGUUCAACCAUUCUCGUGUGUCUAAUGUUCACAUUCACGGCGGAGAAGAAACAGCAGAUAUUAUUCACAUUCACCCCAAAAUCAAAUGGACUCUUUCCUGUUGAAACUAUGUCAAGGCUCAAUUAACUGUUAUGCUGAACGAUGUGCCAGGGUAGGAUGUCAGUCAAAUUGCCUUUCUGUUUAUGCAGCGGGAUGCAUGCGACUAAAUUUUACUCAGAGUAGACUCAUUGAAAUUAAUGGGCCUAAGCUCAUUACAUAUCCUUAGGCACCAGGUAAAAAAGUGGCCUUUUGCUGAUUAAUGUUCUAUGGGCUUUUAAAUGUGUUUGUGGGAGUGGGAUUUUUUGCUUUGUUUUUAUUUUGUUAUGUAUUUUUGGUUCUCAUUUUUAUUUUUAUGAUGUGAACCACCCUGUGAUCUUUGGGUGAAGGGGGGUGUACAAAUUUAAUAAAUAAUAAUAAUAAUUGAUAAUGCCUAUUAAUUUCACUGAGUUUGCUCUGAGGAAAGCUGAGUUGAAUACCAUUCCGUGUAAUUAUCUUUUCACGUGGCUGUAUGAACUAUGUUGGAAGCAAGCUUUCAGGUCAUGCAGGACUCACUGAGAGCACACCUGUAUUUCUUAAGGGGUUCUAGUUUCUCACUAUAUGUAGAAGCUGUUCGGCGUUUUCUGCAAUUGGACUUUGCGUGACCACCAGCUAUGCAACUUUGGAUGAAUCAAUGCAUGUGCAAUUGAGUUACCGGUAAUUUCUUUUAUUUUUCGAGAAAUUUUCAUUUGCAAAUAUAGCAAGAAAUAAAGAAACACCAUCAGCUGACAUUACCCCCCCCCCCCCCGAGAGCUACAAUUCUCAGAGUGGAUUAACAAUCAAUCCCUCAUUGCAGGAAACUCUUGCAAUUGUAGCUUUCUAAGGGAAAUAGACAUCUCUUAAGAAAUCUCAGCACCCUAUUCAACACUAUGGUGCCUCCAUUAAAAGGCAAAAGGUCUGUCCAUAGACAGCUUUCUGGUUCAUGUGGCUUCUGGCACAACAGAACACCAUGGCAGAAACCAGAGUGCACAGAAACGCCACGGGUGGCACUGUGGUCUAAACCACUGAGCCUCUUGGGCCUGCUGAUCAGAAGAUCAGCGGUUCAAAUCCCCGCGACGGGGUGAGCUCCCAUUUGUCUGUCCCAGCUCCUGCCAGCCUAGAACUUCGAAAGCAUGCCAGUGCAAGUAGAUAAAUAGGUACCACUGCGGCGGGAUGGUAAAUGGCAUAAAAUCCAACAACAUCCAGAGCGCACCAUGUUGGCUGUCCUAUUCUACACUGAGUGGUAGAAUCUCUCCAAGGUUUUCAGCAGGGGUAUUUCCCAGUCCUACCUGGAGAUGCCAGGAUUGAACCUGGGUCAUUCUGCAUGUAAAGCAGUUGCUCUACCACUGAACUGCAGCCUUCCCCUCCACCCCCAAAUAUCUGAAAAUUUAGGUGACAACCCAGGGGUACUGUCUGGGGAGGAGGGGAGGGGAUCUUUGACACUCUACUUUGCAUACAGGCCAGAUGCAGGACAAAUAUUUUCUGAUCCAGUUUGUAGAUGAUGCAUCUUUAGGCGUAUAUACACACACACACACAAACACACACACACACCAGCUUGUGAUUUAUUUCCAUUAAGGAGUAAGCUGGUGGUUUUAUUAAAGCUUCCAAUGUUUCAAAUGUAUUUUUCUACGCUGAUUUAGAAUGUCACGCUUCUUUCUUGCUUACAAGGAGGUGGGGGGGCGGCGGGGGCGGCUUCCGGUGUUAUUUAUUUAUUUUUAUAGGUGGCAUUUUUUCUGUAAUCAAAAAAUACAUUCUAAGGAACCGAUUUUCUGAAGCAUGAAAUGGAUAUAUAAAUACUAUUCUGUGACCUGUAACAUCCAAUUUCAGACUCCUUUGUCGAGCGACACCUAUCUAGCAGGAAACUAAAGAUUCUCUCUCCUUGGACAGUCAGAUGUAAAUAUAUAUAUUUUUAAAGAAAAAGAAUUAAACAUGCCAUGUGAAUUUUUGAAACCUUACUUUCUUCCUGGGCUCAAAAGAGGCAGGGAUAUAAACCAUAAGCUGUUUCCAAAACCCCUGAAAUGUAUAUAUAAUUGCUUCCUUAGCCUUCCAUCCUUGCUCCCUUUUCUGCCUGCCAUCUAGAUAUUUAUUACAGCAGCCCAGCCUACACAGAGUCUGUCAUUGUCGACUUGGAAAUAGGUCUCCUUGGGUUCAAUAAGAUUUGCUCCUGUGCCAGGCUAUAAAUCGGGUCCUCCCUUAAAGAGGGCUUGUGUUGUGAUUACACCUGGCAACCUAACCCUGUGUUGUGGGUGGGUACGUUUGGAUAGCCACAACAACCAAUUGGUAGGUCCCUUUAUGCAGGGUUCAAUCAGGCCAAUGGGAUGCAGGCUAAACGGAUCAAGGGACCUAUGUAUACCUAUGCACAUGAUGACCCAGAGCUUCCUCUUUCGGUGCGUGCAUCGGAACACCCACCCACCUCUCCCUAUAUUUAGGGCUUGCGCGCUUGACCUUGCUAUGCCGUCGUGUGUUGUCUGUCGUUGGGACAGGGGCACGGCAGGAAUUUUCCCCACUUGGCUGAUUGGCUGUUGCCAUUUGGGUUUCGCCUGCCACGUAGCAAAUCGUCACAACUUGUAAGGUUGCGGAUAGGUUCAGGUGAUAGGGAUGGGAGAACGCUCUCGCCAUCCCUAUGUGAAGGGUAUUCUGUUAAAGGAAUCCAGGGACUCGAUGGUUUGGUCAUCCCUGUGAGAGGGUUGUGCCCAUGCCUGAGUCCAGAGGGGCAUUUGGGUGGCCAAGAUAGCCUUCUCCCGGCUUUCCGCUUAUCCAGGUGUUCACCCUAGGCUGAACUAUGCUGGUGCCCUGGGUCAGCGCUACCUGCAACGGUGCAGGGAGCUAGUCGAACCAGAGCCUAUGCAACCAGUCGCUUUCUGUAAUCAAUAAAGUUGUGGGCUAAAUCCUGCCAAAAACCAUACCAAAAUUUGCCUCUUGUGGAUUUAUUUAAGGGGGAGGUUUAAAGGUCUCAACAUGCAAUUGUACGCAUGCGCACAACAAAACUGUGCAUGUUUGCUGAGAAGCCAUCCCAGUUGAAUUCAAUGGGAUUGACUUCCAGGUAAAAUGUGCAUGAGAGCAGUCCUAGGAACCAGCACCAGCCCUGAUUCACAGCGUCAUUGAGUGUUUUUGCCUGGCUUUAAUACAGUGGUACCUCGGGUUAAGUACUUAAUUUGUUCCAGAGGUCCGUUCUUAACCUGAAACUGUUCUUAACCUGAAGCACCACUUUAGCUAAUGGGGCCUCCUGCUGCUGCUGCACCACCGGAGCACGAUUUCUGUUCUCAUCCUGAAGCAAAGUUCUUAACCCAAGGUACUAUUUCUGGGUUACUGGAGUCUCUAACCUGAAGUGUCUGUAACCUGAAGCGUAUGUAACCCGAGGUGCCACUGUAUGUUGGUGCUGCUUCUCCCCCAGCAAGGGAGGAGAAGGGGGUCUUUCAAUCUAGCAGGCCUAAAGGCUUGCCCUGCCUGAAUGAUGAUUGUCUUAGCUUGAUGUUGACUUCCCCUCUCAGCUUCACUGGAUGGCACCAGGUUCUCAUGAGCCAGUGUGGUGUAGUGGUUAGAGUGUCAGACUAGGACCUGGGAGACCAGGGUUCAAAUCUCCACUUGGCUGUAAAGCUCAUUGGAUGACUUUGGGCCAAUCACAGUCUCUCAGCCUAGCCUGCCUCACAGGGUUGCUGUGGGGGUUAAAUGAGGAGGAGGAUAUAACCAUGCCACC